rnacentral:tRNA from 1 species
GGCGGUGUAGCUCAGUUGGUUAGAGCAGCGGAAUCAUAAUCCGCGUGUCGGGGGUUCGAAUCCCUCCACCGCUAC